rnacentral:rRNA from 1 species
UACGUAGGGUGCGAGCGUUGUCCGGAAUUAUUGGGCGUAAAGAGCUUGUAGGUGGUUUGUCGCGUCUGCUGUGAAAAUCCGAGGCUCAACCUCGGACUUGCAGUGGGUACGGGCAGACUAGAGUGCGGUAGGGGAGAUCGGAAUUCCUGGUGUAGCGGUGAAAUGCGCAGAUAUCAGGAGGAACACCGGUGGCGAAGGCGGAUCUCUGGGCCGUAACUGACGCUGAGGAGCGAAAGCAUGGGGAGCGAACAGG